rnacentral:rRNA from 1 species
ACGCUCGACACCUACGGGGGGCAGCAGUUGGGAAUAUUGGACAAUGGGAGGAAACUCUGAUCCAGUGACGCCGCGUGAAGGAAGAAGGUCUUCGGAUUGUAAACUUAUUUUGUCAGGGAAGAAAAAAUGACUGUACCUGAAGAAAAAGCACCGGCUAACUACGUGCCCGCAGCCGCGGUAAUCUGAGCGGGCUGGCAAGGC